UUUUAUGUGUGCACCCUGGAAGAUAGGUCCAGAAGCCUUGCGAUUUCUUAAAUUAAAGCUAAGUGUACUCGUGACCCUACCAGCACUUUUCAAGAUACUUUCGACGUAUUCAUUGCGGUGAACAACGCGGUUGGGACAGCACACUCACGACGUGGGAAGGUCACAGAAAUGUUGAAAGACAUCAGAUGUGUGGAAACGUCGUAGCGGAUGAAUGUGAAUUAUG